rnacentral:rRNA from 1 species
GACGAACGCUGGCGGCGUGCUUAACACAUGCAAGUCGAACGGUAAGGCUCCAGCUUGCUGGGGUACACGAGUGGCGAACGGGUGAGUAACACGUGGGUGACCUGCCCUGCACUUCGGGAUAAGCCUGGGAAACUGGGUCUAAUACCGGAUAGGACCGCACCGUGAGGGUGUGGUGGAAAGUUUUUUCGGUGUGGGAUGGGCCCGCGGCCUAUCAGCUUGUUGGUGGGGUAAUGGCCUACCAAGGCGGCGACGGGUAGCCGGCCUGAGAGGGUGGACGGCCACAUUGGGACUGAGACACGGCCCAGACUCCUACGGGAGGCAGCAGUGGGGAAUAUUGCACAAUGGGCGGAAGCCUGAUGCAGCGACGCCGCGUGGGGGAUGACGGCCUUCGGGUUGUAAACUCCUUUCACCAUCGACGAAGGGUUUCUGACGGUAGAUGGAGAAGAAGCACCGGCUAACUACGUGCCAGCAGCCGCGGUAAUACGUAGGGUGCGAGCGUUGUCCGGAAUUACUGGGCGUAAAGAGCUCGUAGGUGGUUUGUCGCGUCGUCUGUGAAAUUCCGGGGCUUAACUCCGGGCGUGCAGGCGAUACGGGCAUAACUUGAGUACUGUAGGGGAGACUGGAAUUCCUGGUGUAGCGGUGAAAUGCGCAGAUAUCAGGAGGAACACCGGUGGCGAAGGCGGGUCUCUGGGCAGUAACUGACGCUGAGGAGCGAAGCAUGGGGAGCGAACAGGAUUAGAUACCCUGGUAGUCCAUGCCGUAAACGGUGGGCGCUAGGUGUGGGUUUCCUUCCACGGGAUCCGUGCCGUAGCUAACGCAUUAAGCGCCCCGCCUGGGGAGUACGGCCGCAAGGCUAAAACUCAAAGGAAUUGACGGGGGCCCGCACAAGCGGCGGAGCAUGUGGAUUAAUUCGAUGCAACGCGAAGAACCUUACCUGGGCUUGACAUAUACAGGAUCGCGCCAGAGAUGGUGUUUCCCUUGUGGCUUGUAUACAGGUGGUGCAUGGUUGUCGUCAGCUCGUGUCGUGAGAUGUUGGGUUAAGUCCCGCAACGAGCGCAACCCUUGUCUUAUGUUGCCAGCACGUUGUGGUGGGGACUCGUAAGAAACUGCCGGGGUUAACUCGGAGGAAGGUGGGGAUGACGUCAAAUCAUCAUGCCCCUUAUGUCCAGGGCUUCACACAUGCUACAAUGGUCGGUACAGUGGGUUGCCAGUCCGUGAGGGCGAGCUAAUCCCGCAAAGCCGGUCUCAGUUCGGAUCGGGGUCUGCAACUCGACCCCGUGAAGUCGGAGUCGCUAGUAAUCGCAGAUCAGCAACGCUGCGGUGAAUACGUUCCCGGGCCU